UACGGAGGGAGCUAGCGUUGUUCGGAAUUACUGGGCGUAAAGCGCACGUAGGCGGCUUUGUAAGUUAGGGGUGAAAGCCUGGAGCUCAACUUCAGAAUUGCCCUUAAGACUGCAUCGCUUGAAUCCAGGAGAGGUGAGUGGAAUUCCGAGUGUAGAGGUGAAAUUCGUAGAUAUUCGGAAGAACACCAGUGGCGAAGGCGGCUCACUGGACUGGUAUUGACGCUGAGGUGCGAAAGCGUGGGGAGCAAACAGGG
rnacentral:rRNA from 1 species